GAUUUUUUUAGCUAAUGUUUUAAAAUCACGACAGUAAUAUAUUGUUAGGUAACAAUUAGUGCUAGGCACUUUCCUGCCAGAAUUGAUAGGAACCAUACUCUGGUGCAACUGUAGUCUUGCUGUGUCCCAAAUUGGUAUGUGGCCAGUCAUAGCAGCACAUUUUUCAGUCCCAAUUAAUGCACAAAAUCUAUAAAAAUGAAGCUUCUGUUAAUACAUGUAUUCCCCUCAGGCAUGAGAUAUGGAUGUGUUUGAGGAGUGUGGGUUGUAUCUUCUGCAAACAAGUAAUUUUGUUAAUUUUUUAUUAUUUGCUUAAUUACAUUUUUGCCUUAAUCUUCAGUUCUGAAAAUCAGCCGUGAAUGUGAACAGUAAGUACAUCAAGGUCUUGUCAUUGCUCAGCUUUUAAAGUUUUGUGGUUUUUUUGGCAGAAACAGCUAGAACAUAAAGUAUUUUAUAACUUUCCAGUGUACUGCUAUGAUGUUGUACCUGCUACAAGCAAACGAAGAUAAGAAAUGUGGUUUUAAUGGCAGAAGAGGUGCACAAAAUUGAAGAAUUAAUUUUUACUGUACCUAUUAUUUAUGGAGGUGUCCUGGUUUCAGCUGGGAUAGAGUUAACUUCUUCCCAAGAGCUGUUGCAGUGCUGUGUUUUGGAUUCAGAGUGAGAAUGGUAUUGAUGCUAUGGGUUUUUGCUAAGUUGUGUUUAUCCUAAGUCAAGGAUUUUUUUUUUUUUUUUCCUUGUCUUGUGCUCUGCCAGUGAGGAGGUUUGCAAAAGAAAUUGGGGGGGAACAUGUCCAGGGCAGGUGACUCAAACUGACCACAAGGAUAUUCCACACCACAGAAUGUCGUGCCCAGUAUGUAAACUGGAGGAGUUACCUGGAAGUGUGGCUGAUCUGAGAUUGAGAAGGGGGAUCUGUCAUCAGUCAGUGGAUGGUACAAAGCCUUCUGGAGGAUUCCUUCGAUUUAAUUUCUCUAGCUUAAAGCCGAAUGGAGAGAACAAAGGCAGAGCUCACAGUCAUUAAUUAAGAGGAUGAAGGAAGGCAGAGGGGAUGCUGACAGGAGGUGACAGACUCAUUGAAAAGAAAAAGCUACAUCCCGAGAAUGGGGAGAUAUUAUAGACAAUUCUUUGAGGCUUGCUGAAGUGCAAAACUAAUCCAAAAGCAUGCAGAGAAGGGGAAGAGAAGUGAUCCUGCACCUCCACCCCCAGAUUCACGAUCCUCAUGAGCUGCCUCAGGGUCUUGCUGCGGGAAACAAGGCAUGCAGUUUGCCACAAAAAUCUGUGUGAAGCCUGCAUGUUCCUCUGCGCUGCACUUAGCCAGGUCCCAGCAUUGCAAAGCCUUGUUCCACAUCACAGAGGAAUUACCAUCAGCUUGUGCGGAUAAUUUAAUGAGAAGCACUUCAAAAACGUUUAUUGUUAUGAAUCAUAUUGCCAUGAAUAGCCCUGCAGUUGGUGGUGGGCCAGACUUGGAAAUGGCUCAGUGCCCAGUGCAUCUGCUUUCAGAUACCUAAGUGGGGAGUUUUGGUGGCUGGGAUUUGAUUGUUCCCAGGUGGAACUGCUGGAGACUAUCCUGCCUUGAAAAAGAAGCAAGAACAAGCUGAAUUUUGGAUUUUUUAGCAUAUGUAGAAAGAAAAGGAGAGAAGCUUUCACCCUCAGCUUGAUCUUUGAGUCAUGUUUGAAGAACCUGGCCAUGAUGUGACCAAAGAUACCCGAGAAACACAAUUAUAAGACAAUAGGAAGAGCAGAGCACUUAGGAGUAAUGAGUCCAGCAUUACAAAUUAAGGCUGAAAGCUUUUAUGAUUGAAUUGGUAGCAUUGGAUAUUGAAUGUUUUACUGUGAUUGGAAUAGAGUUGUUGUUUUGGGGUUGUUUUUUAUUAGGGCUGUUUGUGUAUAUAUCCAUAGCUUGUCAUUAGUGCUUAGACACUGAUUUGUAGCAGCACAAAAGCAUUCCAUUGAAUGUCACUGCAGCUCCUAUUCCUUUUCAACAUCUCCUUUCUCUCAUUUCCUCUUUCUAACUAAAAAAAAAGGUGGAGAAGAACAUUACCACGCUGAUUUAUGUAAAUACAGCCCUAAUUCAGGCUGGUAUUCAGGCAGUCACAUAAAAAUGAUUCAGUCCCAUGAUGUUUGUAUCUUUAAUAGCUUUUGGGAUGGACGGAAUCUUUGUCCUAGUAAGGCCACCUCUGAAGGACUGGAAACAUGCAGAUUUUUCAUCUGAGUUGCACUGAGUAUUAGAAUGAUGAAUCAAUGAUUGCUGAAGCAUCUAAUUCAAUUAAAGCUCUGCAUCAAAGAACUGUGUUUGUCAACAUGAUCUUCAGAGAUUUUGAAAAUAGAUGGCAAAUAUCCAUCUACUACUGUUCCAGCCUUCUUCCAGGAAGAAAAUACAGAGAUAACUAGUUGUUAUCUGAUUAAAUCUGAAGAUUAUCAAUAAAUCUAGAAUUUAUGAGUCUAGC